rnacentral:rRNA from 1 species
AACGAACGCUGGCGGCAGGCUUAACACAUGCAAGUCGAACGAUCCUUCGGGAUAGUGGCAGACGGGUGAGUAACACGUGGGAACAUACCUAGUGGUACGGAAUAACUCAGGGAAACUUGUGUUAAUACCGUAUACGCCCUUCGGGGGAAAGAUUUAUCGCCAUUAGAUUGGCCCGCGUCUGAUUAGCUAGUUGGUGAGGUAACGGCUCACCAAGGCUACGAUCAGUAGCUGGUCUGAGAGGACGAUCAGCCACACUGGGACUGAGACACGGCCCAGACUCCUACGGGAGGCAGCAGUGGGGAAUAUUGGACAAUGGGCGCAAGCCUGAUCCAGCCAUGCCGCGUGAGUGACGAAGGCCUUAGGGUUGUAAAGCUCUUUUGGCAGGGACGAUAAUGACGGUACCUGCAGAAUAAGUCCCGGCUAACUUCG